GCGACGUUAGUGUAAUGGUUAUCAUCUGCGCUUCCCAGUUUGUUCCAGGCUGCGCAGGAUUCGAGUUCGAUUCUCGAACGUCGCA